GUCUUAAUUUAUGGGUUCUGUUUCUUAUCGUCAGUUUCUAGGAAGUCCAACGUUCACAAAGAAGCUCAAUGACACUGUUAAAGGAGUCAGCAAUUCAAGUGUGAUCAGUAAGUCAAGUGUGUCUGUCACAGUGUUGAAGAAGAGAGCUGGGCGAGUGUCAGAAUAAACAACAUCUGCUUCCUCUUUCUCAUCAAUCCUGCUUCGUUACAGACUCACACAGCAUCUCUGAACUGUUGGAUCUUGAGCAACAGAUAAAAUGGUAAGUUAUACUUCUAUUACUUAAUAUCAUCGCUAGUGGAGCUAAACAGCAUCACUAUUGCUCAUGUUGUGAAAUAAAAGCUUCUAAAAACUGUACACGCAAUAAAAUUUCAAAGAAUAUUUUGUUUUUAACAGACAGAAUGCUAUUUUAAAAUUCAGCGUUUUGUUGUACACAUAUUUUGUUUUUAACAGACAGAAUGCUAUUUUAAAAUUCAGCGUUUUAUUGUACACAUACUUUGUAUAUGAAUCUUUAUAUUUGUGUGUGUUUGUUUCAGGUUUUCGCUGUACCUCAGAGAAUCCUCCUGAUCUGCCUGCUUCAGUUUUGCACUUGUGCAGUCGGUCAGAAUGUGGACCCCAAAACUCUCAUGAAUAUUGUAAAAAACUUUGAGAAUCAGUUGGGUAACAUGGGACAAUACGCUGUCGCCUUCAGUACUGAGAAGGACAACUGUCUUAAAGGUUCUGGCUAUCCAAGCAAGGACUUACUAACUAAAGUGAAAGAAAAACUUCAGCUGAAAGAGGUUUACGUGAGCGAUGACCUCAUUGCUGCAAAUCCGAAUGGAAAAGAUCAUUCAGAGUAUCGUCUGAAAAAUUAUCUGAAGAAUAUCUUGAAGGAUGAAAAUGAGUGUGUGGGUUUUUUCACUGUAAAUUCACCCUGUUUGAAAACAUGCCUAGCAGAAUCUGGGCCAUACAGCGUUAAAGACAGUCUUGUACUGUUAGAAAAGUAUGUGGGUAUUAAAGCCUUUGCGUUCAAAAAAAUUUGGACACAUGAUAAAAAGGAGGAUGUGAUAAAGAGACUGAAUGAAAUUGCACCUAAUUUGCCAUAUUAUCAGUGUGAGAAAAACAAAGCUAGAUGUGACAGACUGUAAGAAGAGUAAUGCUUGACAGUUGCUUUCCUCACAUAUAGAAAGUUUUAUUAAGCUGAGGAUUUUUUGUUUUGUUUUGAAUGCAGUAAACAUUAAAAUUGGUAGAUAAAAUCAAUCAUAUGUAAAAAAAAAAAAUCAUAAAUUUUGAAAGAUGACAAGUACUGUUAAAGUAAACUAAUGUUAGCAUGUCUGCUUACUGCUGGAGUGAAUAAAAAUACAUUUUAUUGAGCA
ensembl:lncRNA